GAUGAACGCUGGCGGCGUGCCUAAUACAUGCCAGUCGAGCGAACGGGCGAGAAGCUUGCUUCUCUGAUGUUAGCGGCGGACGGGUGAGUAACACGUGGAUAACCUACCUAUAAGACUGGGAUAACUUCGGGAAACCGGAGCUAAUACCGGAUAAUAUUUUGAACCGCAUGGUUCAAAAGUGAAAGACGGUCUUGCUGUCACUUAUAGAUGGAUCCGCGCUGCAUUAGCUAGUUGGUAAGGUAACGGCUUACCAAGGCAACGAUGCAUAGCCGACCUGAGAGGGUGAUCGGCCACACUGGAACUGAGACACGGUCCAGACUCCUACGGGAGGCAGCAGUAGGGAAUCUUCCGCAAUGGGCGAAAGCCUGACGGAGCAACGCCGCGUGAGUGAUGAAGGUCUUCGGAUCGUAAAACUCUGUUACUAGGGAAGAACAUAUGUGUAAGUAACUGUGCACAUCUUGACGGUACCUAAUCAGAAAGCCACGGCUAACUACGUGC
rnacentral:rRNA from 1 species